GGUGGAGGCCGGAGCACCGCUGCCGCAGGUGGGACACCCCUCAGCGGCGUUACUUGUGCUCGGUACGCUCAAGUCAAACGCCGCCGCUUGCAUUCCAUUGCAGGCGCGCAGCCGACCCGCGGCCGUUGCCGGGUGCUCUCCCGGGCCCGGAGCCGUUUGGGCCCCUCAGAGAGUGCCGCCGCCGGGCGGGUCCUCCGUCCGUCCGUCCUGGCUGGCGCCGCCAGGUAGGGCGGAGGCGCGGGGCUCCCCGCCUUCCCCUAAAAAGGAUCGGGAAUGCUCCCGCCGGCGCGGGCCCGGCAAGGCACGGACGGGGUUCGAACCCGUGAUCUUCGGUUUACGAGACCGACGCCUUACCACUUGGCCACCGCGCCUGCGUUACCGCACCCUCCCGACGCCCUCCUAUCGCUGGCGCCACUCCCGCGCUGCCUGCCGCCCUCGGCAGCCGCGCGCCAGCAGCGGGCGGCCGCCUCCGCCACGCCCCCGCGGUCCGCCGCGUGCGCCUGCGCCAGCACCUGGCGACCGUUAGGCGGUCCGGCCCGGGGGGGCGCUGCGCGCGGCCGUUUCUCCCUCAGGCGCGGAGGGCGCGGCAGCAGGUUGCCCUUCGGUAGGUGUCUGCUAAGGAGGAGGCGGUAGUUGUGGGAGGGGGCCGAGGGAAGUCCCUCUCUCCUUGGGAGCGGCGAGGAGCUGUCCCGUCCGUCCGUCCGUCCGUCCGAGGCGUCCGCAAGGGCAGCGCUCUCUUCCAGCGUCGGCCCCGGCGAGGCGUCGGGGCCCCGGGACUCUCCCGCCUCUAAGGGCGGCCGGGCCGGGCCGGGCCGGGCCGACAGAGGGGUGUUCCCCGGGGGGAGGGUGUGGUUUUGUGGUGCCGCAAGUGACGGGCACGCAGCUGAGCUGCGGCGGGCGUUUUCUUCACCGAAAGAUGGCACUCGCUGCGUUCAGAGCAGUAAACGUAUUGGAAGCAAUGUAGUCUUCCUCAGACCAGAAAGAGCAGCUUCGAGAGGGGGAAGAAAAGCGGGAAUAAAACUUUCUUCCUCGGAGAAAGCAGCAGAAAUGCAAAACGUUGGGAUAAUUAAAUGCAGUCGUCUUGGAGGGAUUCAAGAAUGAUGCAGUGUUAUGGUAGAGUGGCCCUGCAGUCCUUGUUCUGCAGAGAAGACUGGAGACUCAUCUUCAGGUUUUGUAAUAUUUGCCCAUGUUCUGAUGUCAUCAGUGUUGAACAGACUGUAAUAAGAAAGCGGUGGGUGAUCUAGUAUGGGGACUGCCUCCACAAGAGGAGGUAUAAUAGUAAAUAUUUAAAUGAAGCAGCUUCAUCAUGAAAAGAAGCUUGUGCAUAUUGAACAGCUUAUAGCUCAAUAGCUCAUUCUCCUGAAGAAAUGCAUAGAGGUGUUCUGGAACACAAACUGAGCAGAAUACCAAAUGCAAAUUCGCAAUCCCACAAUCCAGAACAUCUUGAAAACCUUGGAAGAAUUUGGGAGUGUCCUGAAUGAAAAUAAUAUGGUUUCUGGACCUUCUAACUGCAAACAAGCAUCUAGCAGGUCACCAAGCUACAGUGAAUAUAUUAAGAAAACUGUCAUUAUAUUCUGUCUCAUCAAGCAAAAUACUUCAGCUGUUUAGAAGAUAACUGUUCAAUGUCUUCAGAAUUGUGAACACCACAAUUUGAUCUGUUUAGAGUGGCGUAUAAAAUGCCUAAUGCUUACCAGAUGCAAAUACAUCAGGUUAAAGCAAGUUUUAGGUCAUCAGUCAACGAGAGCUGAAAGUUCUCAAAGUUAUGUUACAUCCUCUGAGGCCUGGAAAUGCGUGGAGGAGGAAGCCUUGAAAACAACUCGGGCUGCACUCCACUGUUUUCAAAACAUUCUUUGUAUUUUAUGUUGUAAUAAAAUGUAAAAUUUGUCAGAGGAAAUUAAAAGAAUGAAGGAGCAAUUUCCCAGACACAUCUCCUGUAGACACACGCUGUGCUGUUUUUAUUUAUUUCAAAAGGAACAACAAGGUAAGCAUCUGUUUUAUUCUGCAGAAGAGCAACUUCACAUUUUAGAUCUGUGCACAGCAGUGGCUGUAAUAUGUUAUGAAAUCCAUAAGCAAAGGACUGAAGUUGUAUCUGAAGUGCUUUUUCAAUCAAGUUCAAGUGCUCUGUUAUUUUGUUGCUGCAAUCCCAUAUCUAUCUUAUGCUUCCUACUUGAAAAGCUUUUGGCAUGCAUUGCUUUGAGUAUUUUUAUUUAACUCUCCAUUAGAAACCUAACUCUUUACUUAGGAAUCUAAUUUCAUGUGGUUUGUUUUCAAUUUAUUCAACACAAAUUACAUUCUUUCGACACGAAACCCAUCUUAAUCCGUAUGUUAGGGAACAAUGAAAUAAAACGAAUGUGCCGUACUUUGUGUCCAGCAUUGUUUUUGAAUAUGAACUUUGCAAUACUUUUUCUAUCUACUAUAGAAUAGUAGAUAGUAGUAGAUAACUAUAGAAUAUGUCAUUUCAACACAUAAACACAAACUAAUGGCUCCUCUAGGCAAGUAUAGCUCGGAAUAUAAGCACAAUUUGUCAUUUACUUAGCUCUGUCAGUCUCAAAUGAACAAGCUGUUCAUGAGUGGAGAUGAAUACUGUUAAAGCUGGCUAGUUUGGAGUUUGCUGACCAUUGAAGCUAGUUGCCGUCAGACAACAUAUGAUGACUUUGCUUGCCUCUCCCUCUACUAGAGCCUUAAUUUGGGUCUCUUUGUCAGUCUAGAGAAAAAGUUCCAUGAAAGUUGCAGAAAUCUAGUUAAAAGCAAAGCCUUCUCCUCUUAACUGGGCUUAAGUUAGUGAGUUUAAAAUUACUAGCUAAGGUAUGUCAGAAAACAUCAUAAACAAUCUAUUUUAGCUAAACAUAGUAACCCUUACAUAAAUACAUAUAUCAUUUAUGAAUAAACUUACUGAUUAACUCAAAGGUGAAGAUAAAGACCUAUGAAGCAAGCACUGUACAAAAUAUUCUAGAAAGCAUCCAGAUUACUGUAUGAUUAUGCAUAUAACCCUGUGUUUUCAUUAGCCAAUAGAAGAUAAAAGAAAUUAAUUUGUAGCACAUGAUGUUUGUUUCAUUACUGUUUUGGCAAAUUAUUUUACACCAGCACUUUUAUAACAUAUUUAAAAAUAGGGUAGGCGAUGUUACUGUCCAUUUCAAAUCACAAAAUUAAAUUGUUUUAAGAAGAGUUCUCUUUCAAAACUUCUAUUUGCAAUUCUUGUGAAAACAGUCAAGUGUUUUCAUUCAAACGCACUGUUCUUUAAAUACUCACACAUUUAAAUGCUCUAAUAUAAAGACAAAAUUUUAUCUGCCAUGGCAGACAUAGUUACUUUCCUUUCUUUGUAAGGAAUGUGAGAAAAUACUAAAAACCUCAUAGAAAAAUAAACAUAAAGGUUAUUUUCAUUUCUUAAAUAGUCAAUUCCUUAGGCACUAUUUUAAAACUUCAGGAGACAACGUUUAAAUUAUGUGGGAAACCUUAUUUUUUAAGGACUUUUCUGGAGAUAAUGGAAUUGACGUCAACUGUUGUUGUUUCAGCUAAGUUUAAUUCUAAACGAGUUCAAGACCUUGCCCAGAAUGAAGACAGACAUUAAGUAAUCAAUAACAGCUGGAGUAAACCAUGGAUAUGACCUUUUAAACAACUUCUGGGAAAGCUGUAGAUCUUCUAUGGGCCAUAAUGAAUUUCAGUGAAUUUACGGCUUUACUACAGUCUAUGGGAAUUUCAUCAUUGCCGACAGCUAAGCCAGGGUUCUAGUCUAUACACUCCCAAACACCAAAUGGGAGUCCCAGACACUUCUUUGCAACAGCAAAUGUAUUCAUUCCAUGUGAAACUAUGCCCCAUUUCUAUAGUGCCAGACCAAAGAACAUACUGUGAAGAUUUUGUUUCAACAUUUAAAAACUGUACCUGUGUU